rnacentral:lncRNA from 1 species
AACAAAGGUAAAAGAGAGAAGAAAAACAAAAGAAAGUGCACAAGAGAGGUUCUCAACUAGCCGUGUGACGGUGUGAGUGUGUACUCAAAAGUCAAAACGAUAGCUGAAGAAAUUAAUUUUGAGUGAUAAUCCAAUUCUGGAUAGUUGUUGGAGUUUGGAUCCUUAAUUAAAUCCUGCAACAAAGAAAAAUGAAUCAGUGAGAAGAAGAUGAAGAAAAGAGAAGAAGCCACAACGAAGAAGAAGAAAUGUUUUGAAGAGAGUCAACGACAAAGAAGGAAGCAAAGUCAACCUAAGG